rnacentral:rRNA from 2 species
GUAUUAAUCCCCCUAGGGGAACCUGGCCCUUAAUUCGAUGAUCCGCGAACCUCUUACCUUUUCUAGUUUUCUACCCCUCCAAAAGGAGUGUAGGAAGACCAGCUCGCAUACCGCCGUUUCGCAGCUUAUAUCGUGAGAGGACAAAAAUAGGCGCAGCAGCGGCCCCACAGAAAUGCACGAUUUUAUGUGCGGGGGGCUUCUCUUUCAAUUCAGGUAAACGUGUGGCCCACGAAAAGGGGGGAGCUGGGUUACAGUUGGAGCUCGUAAUAGAGUGGCUGCCUUAAGGGCAAGACGAAAGAGGACUUGGAAGUAAUGGUUUUGGACAAUGAAGCCGUGAAUGUGCUCUAGUAUGUGU